AUGGUAACCAGCAGACAGACCUGAGAGAAGCAAGGCUGCAGAGAAACUGUAGCCAUCACCAAACAGCAAAUCAAAGGGAAGUGUCUCAGGAGAGAUUUCUAAUUAUCACACAUUUGUCCUUGCAGCCAAACCAGGAUGCAAUGGAAAUGGUGCCUUUGGCACUAGCAUCUUAGGUCACAAAAUCAGCUGUCUUGAAAUUCUUACUAACUUUUGAACUUGGAACCCUACAUCUUCAUUUUGUACUGGUCCCCACAUAUUUCAUAGCCAAUCUGGAGGAGGAGAGAGAGGUGAUGGGGGAUGAAGGGUAUGGGGAGUGUAUGCUAUGGUUGCCUGCUGUCAAAGUUCUCCAGGUCCAGAGAGGAUUUAAGUUGCUGGAAUAAUCCACCCAGUCUUCCAGAUGUGAUUGUAUAAUUGAUGGGAUCUGGAUAUCACUGAUCACAAAACACAAUAAAGGACCUAAGGCAACAUCUUUGUACUUUCUCCAGGUGGGGGAAAUGUUUUUUGUUCUACUUGGUAAAUGGCCUCUCCAGUGUUUCUUGGAGACCUUCAAUAAAUGAUUAUUUUCCAGCAUUCCACCACAUGCCAAAUGUUUUACUCUCAUUUCCCUGAGGUUCUGGUCUGUCAGCACUUGUCCUGAAGCUGAGUGCAGACAUGGCAUAGGUA